rnacentral:rRNA from 1 species
UACAGAGGUCUCGAGCGUUGUUCGGAUUCAUUGGGCGUAAAGGGUGCGUAGGUGGCGUGGUAAGUCUGGUGUGAAAUCCCGGGGCUCAACCCCGGAACUGCACUGGAUACUGCCAUGCUUGAGUACUGGAGAGGAGAUUGGAAUUUACGGUGUAGCAGUGAAAUGCGUAGAUAUCGUAAGGAAGACCAGUGGCGAAGGCGGCAUCCUGGCCCUGUCCUGACGCUCAGGGGCGAAGGCGUGGGGAGCGAACGGG